CCCUUAGAUGUCCUGGGCCGCACGCGCGCUACACUGAUGCAUGCAACGAGUUUAUAACCUUGGCCUGAAAGGUCUGGGUAAUCUUUUGAACGUGCAUCGUGAUAGGGAUAGAUUAUUGCAAUUGUUAAUCUUGAACGAGGAAUUCCUAGUAAACGCGAGCCAUCAGCUCGCAUUGAUUACGUCCCUGCCCUUUGUACACACCGCCCGUCGCACCUACCGAUUGAAUGGUUCGGUGAAGAUCUCGGACUUCGAUAUUUAUUCUUUAUUGAGUUUAUAUUGUGGGAAGUUAUCUAAACCUCAUCAUUUAGAGGAAGGUGAAGUCGUAACA
rnacentral:rRNA from 1 species